AGUGUUCACUGUUGGCCUGUAUGUUUUUGUAACGCAUAAGGCACGCGGUGAAUGCCAA
rnacentral:pre_miRNA from 1 species